AACGGCCGUACCAUGCUGAAUAUACCGGUUCUCGUUAGAUCACCGAAGUUAAGCAUCAUUGGGCGCGGUCAGUACUUGGGAGGGUGACCACCUGGGAACAACA
rnacentral:rRNA from 1 species